rnacentral:rRNA from 1 species
AUUGAACGCUGGCGGCAUGCUUUACACAUGCAAGUCGAACGGUAACAGGGAGCUUGCUCCGCUGACGAGUGGCGAACGGGUGAGUAAUGCGUCGGAACGUGCCGAGUAGUGGGGGAUAACGCAUCGAAAGGUGUGCUAAUACCGCAUACGUACUGAGGUAGAAAGUGGGGGACCUUCGGGCCUCACGCUAUUCGAGCGGCCGACGUCUGAUUAGCUAGUUGGUGAGGUAAAGGCUCACCAAGGCGACGGUCAGUAGCGGGUCUGAGAGGAUGAUCCGCCACACUGGGACUGAGACACGGCCCAGACUCCUACGGGAGGCAGCAGUGGGGAAUUUUGGACAAUGGGCGCAAGCCUGAUCCAGCCAUGCCGCGUGUCUGAAGAAGGCCUUCGGGUUGUAAAGGACUUUUGUGCGGGAGCAAAUGCCUGGUGUUAAUAGCACUGGGAGCUGAGAGUACCGGAAGAAUAAGCACCGGCUAACUACAUGCCAGCCGCCGCAGUAACAC